UUCUAGAGCACAUUCUACAUUUACGUUUCUCCUCAAUUAUUAGUCACACUUGAUCAUAUGCUUUUAAACUAAUCAUCUUUUCAAUGUAAAGCAAGAUGGUAUCAUGGCGCACGCAUUUUAGUUAGAGAUAUGUAAACUCAGAAAGUAUGAGUCAAAAUGGUGUGGAACUGAGUCAGGGACUCUCAAAUUAGCAAAAAACCAAACCCAUCUCAACUUCACAGAACAUCAGUUUAGAACCCUUAUAAUUUGUGAGAAGUUUAACUCCGUGUUGAUUGUAGUAAUAGAGAAAAUUGGGCUAUAAGCCGAUGAGUUAAAAUUAAGUUCAUAACUGAAAGGUGUGAACACCUUGAUUUGUGGUUCCAACAAGUUAUACAGCUUUUUUUUCAUUAGUAUAUGCAUGUAUAUAUAUACAUAUAUUUUUUCUUAUUAGGUGAAUGCGGUAUUUCAGUUUUAUGCUGUAUACUCAAAUGCUAUUGCAACAGAGACCCACAUAUACAUAUGCAUGUGUACAAUUGUCUAAAAGUGAUAGAUUGCAAAAUCACACUUAAACAGAAACAAUUAUUAUAUACUCUUUUAGAAGUUGUCAAGAGCCACGGGGAACUCAUUUCAGGAGUAAUUUGAAUGAAUAUUAUACAGCCAGAUAAAUCCUGGGCUGGAAUAUGCUUGCUAGGAUUGACAAGUCAGGAAUGCAGUUCAGAGCGUUUUAUGGCUUCCUACUCAGAAUGGUUCAACAAGAUCUUGUCUCAUAUGCAGGUUGGGUGGAUUUCCUAAUGCGAAGAAAGAUGGGAAUUCGCAAGCCUCUAAGCUUGUUCAACCAGUACUGAAGCUAUUAAAUGAGGAUAGCUCUGAUGCCUUCUGGGUAGGAAGAAGCUAUCUCCUUAUUGUGCACACUUACAAAUGUUUUUCCUGCUUCUGUCAGCCGACACUACGAUGGUGUUGAAUCCUCUAUA